rnacentral:rRNA from 1 species
CCUACGGGUGGCAGCAGUGGGGAAUAUUGGGCAAUGGAGGAAACUCUGACCCAGCAACGCCGCGUGAAGGAUGAAGGUUUUCGGAGUGUAAACUUCUGUCGCGAGGGAGGAAGAAUGACGGGACCGCGUAAGAAAGCCCCGGCAAACUACGUGCCAGCAGCCGCGGUAAUACGGAGGGGGCGAGCGUGGUCCGGAAUGACGGGGCGUAAAGGGAGUGGAGGCGGCAGAGUCAGGUAUGUGUGCAAGCCCGCGGCUCAACCGCGGAAUUGCCCAUCAAACUGGUAAGCUGGAGUGCAGGAGAGGUAAGUGGAAUUCCCGUUGUAGCGGUGGAAUGCGUAGAUAUCGGGCGGAACACCAGCGGCGAAGGCGACUUACUGGACUGUACCUGACGCUGAGGCUCGAAAGCGUGGGGAGCAAACAGGAUUAGAUCCCCUUGUAGUC